ACGUUGCCUUUAAAAUUCUUCUUGCAGCGACUUCUCAGCUUGUCCAGCUGCGAGGCACCAUGGAGAUGCGUUUCAUUCUCAGCUUUUGCCUCUUUAGCCAACUAGGUGAGGUGCUGGGUGACUCGAUCCGGUCCAAGGAACCCGAAGUGUCCAGGUCAGAAGGAGACACCGUGACCCUCAGUUGUUCUUAUGAAACCAGCUACACUACUGGUGUCUAUCUCUACUGGUACCGUCAGUAUCCGAACCGAGCCCCGCAGUACAUCCUCCUGAGAGGAACGAAAGAAGUCAGUUAUGCCAGCGAUACUGCAGGUUUUGCCCAGGAGAGGUUUUCUUCGCAGGCUAAUGACAGCUCCACAACUCUGAACAUCGCAGCCCUGGAGCUGACAGACACAGCGGUGUAUCUCUGCGCCCUGUGUCUGGCACAGUGA